CCUACGGGAGACAGCAGUGAGGAAUAUUGGUCAAUGGACGAGAGUCUGAACCAGCCAAGUAGCGUGAAGGAUGACUGCCCUAUGGGUUGUAAACUUCUUUUAUAUGGGAAUAAAAUGUUCCACGUGUGGGAUUUUGUAUGUACCAUAUGAAUAAGGAUCGGCUAACUCCGUGCCAGCAGCCGCGGUAAUACGGAGGAUCCGAGCGUUAUCCGGAUUUAUUGGGUUUAAAGGGAGCGUAGGUGGAUUGUUAAGUCAGUUGUGAAAGUUUGCGGCUCAACCGUAAAAUUGCAGUUGAAACUGGCAGUCUUGAGUACAGUAGAGGUGUGCGGAAUUCGUGGUGUAGCGGUGAAAUGCUUAGAUAUCACGAAGAACUCCGAUUGCGAAGGCAGUUCACUGGACUGCAACUGACACUGAGGCUCGAAAGUGUGGGUAUCAAACAGGAUUAGAUACCCGUGUAGUC
rnacentral:rRNA from 1 species